rnacentral:rRNA from 1 species
CAACCCCAUCCAGCCGUUGAAACUGGGGAUCUAGAGUGUGCGAGAGGUAUGCGGAAUGCGUGGUGUAGCGGUGAAAUGCAUAGAUAUCACGCAGAACCCCGAUUGCGAAGGCAGCAUACCGGUGCACAACUGACGCUCAGGCACGAAAGCGUGGGUAUCGAACAGGAUUAGAUACCCUGGUAGUCCACGCAGUAAACGAUGAAUGCUACCUGUUUGGCCAGAUUGAUGGCUGAGCGGGACAGCGAAAGCGUUAAGCAUUCCACCUGGGGAGUACGCCGGCAACGGUGAAACUCAAAGGAAUUGACGGGGGCCCGCACAAGCGGAGGAACAUGUGGUUUAAUUCGAUGAUACGCGAGGAACCUUACCCGGGCUCAAACGCAUAAUGACGACAGUUGAAAGAUUGUUUCCCUUCGGGGCAUUAUGCGAGGUGCUGCAUGGUUGUCGUCAGCUCGUGCCGUGAGGUGUCGGCUUAAGUGCCAUAACGAGCGCAACCCCUAUCGACAGUUGCUAACGAGUCGAGUCGAGGACUCUGUCGAGACUGCCGGCGCAAGCUGUGAGGAAGGCGGGGAUGACGUCAAAUCAGCACGGCCCUUACGUCCGGGGCGACACACGUGUUACAAUGGCAGGGACAGCGGGAAGCCACCAAGCGAUUGGGCGCGGAACCCGAAACCCUGUCUCAGUUCGGAUUGGAGUCUGCAACUCGACUCCAUGAAGCUGGAUUCGCUAGUAAUCGCGCAUCAGCCAUGGCGCGGUGAAUACGUUCCCGGGCCUUGUACACACCGCCCGUCAAGCCAUGGGAGUCGGGAGUGCCUGAAGUUCGUGACCGUUUAGGAGCGACCUAGGGCAAGACUGAUGACUGGGGCUAAGUCGUAACAAGGUAACCGUAA